CCACUACUACUACGACUACUACCACGCCUACCACAACAACUACUACAACUACAACCACUAAGCCCACGACAACUACGACCACUACUACAACAACAACGCCUACGACUACGACCAAAUCUGCAUGUGAAGGGGAGGCGUUCACCUGCUUGUUCCACACCAAGGAGGAUUGUGAAGCGGAGACUGGAUGGGUUGAUCACGCUAUGGAGUGUGAAUACCCGGAUGAAGUAUGCUGCCAUUUUUCUUAACCAAACAUGUUGGUGGCCUGUCAGCAAAUAUUCAUCAUGCAGAUGCUGUGAAUCCCUUGACCAACUCCUGAUACGAAGCCUCUCUACGUCCGCCUUACUGCUGCUAUGGUUUCUGUUUACAAUGAACACAUGUAACACGA